AUCGACCAAAGAAAUAGAAAAAAAUAAAUAAUAAAACGCAUGAGCCAGCAACCAGCAUCUCUUCAUAACCCAUAAUCAGCCAGAAAGCUCUCCUCAAAAUCUGCAACAAAGACAAGCAAAAGGAGAAAGCAAGACUUUGAAAACAAUUGGAAAAUCAAUGAACCUUCUCCAAAUUCAAAGCAAAACUGCAUAAACCUUAGACCCUCUGAUCCCAAGCCAAACAGUCCUUCAUCACCACCAUCUACACCGAAUCAAGUACACCAUUAACCCAGCUCCCACAUACCCCUCUUCUCUGACCUUCCAACGCCAGAACAUGAGCCGCCUCAUUAACCGCACGAGACACAAAACUAAAGAGAAUCAACUUUCACAGCCAGCCACUGAAAGCACAUCUUACUCGCGAAGAUUAAAGCCCGUUCACAAGCUCGUGCCUCUGCCACAAAUUCAAAGAGAUAAGUUUCUGCCCCAACAACUUCUCCUUUGUAAUUUCUAGCUAAAACUGCUGUUGUAGCAAGUUUCCUUUCAUGAAUGAAAGACGCAUCAAAAUUAAUCUUAAUGAUUCCAAAGUCAGGAGGCCUCCAAAGCUCCUUAACCAAAGAUCCAGUAAAAGGACAGAGGUUCUCAUGAAAUAAAAAAAGAUCUUGUUCAUAUCCUUGAAUAAACCCCAAUAAUUUUUGCCUCAAAAAUUUUACCCCUUCAUGCACCAAUUUAUUUUUAUGAAACCAAAGACCCUAUAAAGAAAUAGCAAUGAGUCGUUUAUGUCGGUCAUUUGCUUUAAUAAAUGUUCUAACAAAACUAAUUUUGUGAACCAGCGAAUCUUCAAAAAGAGGAGUUCGAACUUGCAACGAAGCCCACACAUCCUGCAGAACACCACAAGACCAUAACAGAUGCUCAGAAUUCUCCAGUUCUGCCUUACACAGUGGGCACGCCGCUUUCUCACACAAAGUUCUACGCGCCAGAUUUCCAUAAUGUGGCACCAAAUUAUUAACCAUCCUCUAAACGUGUAUUUUAAUUUUUGCAGGAAUAUUUAAUGACCACAAAUCUGUGUAGAAACUUUGGUAAUCCUCAACAUUAGAGGACAUAUUAGAUUUGCUCUGUAAAUAUUCUGUAAUAAAGACUCGAUACCCACUCUUAACAGUGUAAUCCCCUGAACCUUCAUACUUCCAAACCAACAUGUCCUCUGGCCUACUUUCAGAAAUAGGAUGGAGAAGAUUCUAGCUGCUGUAUUAUCAUCAACUAAAUUAUGAACUAGUUCUCUGUUCCAGGUAACCAGGGAUCAUUCCAUAUAUUGAUGCAAGCACCAUUCCCAACCUGCCACACAAUCCCUUCUCCGAUCAACUCCUGAACACUGCAAAUGCUUCUCCAGGUAAACGAAGGGUUAGAGGGGACUUUUGCUGAUAGAAUAUCUGAAUAAUGGAAAUAACGGGCUUUUAAAACCUUGGCAAAAAGACAAUGAGGUCGGGAUAAAAUACGCCAAACCUGUUUGGCUAAUAAAGCCUUAUUAAACAAAAACAAGUUUUUAAAGCCCAUACCUCCAAGGCAUUUUGGCUUGCAUAACAUUUCCCAAGUUGAGGAUUUAUUAUUCGUCCACCAGAACCUGUUCAUGAUGCCUUCAAGCUUUCGACAUAACGUCUUUGGCAGAAAGAAGCAUUGCAUAGCAUAUAUUGAGGUCGCCUGCAAAACUGAUUUAAUAAAGACUUCCUUACCCCCCAUUGACAGAUAGCACAAACUCCACCCCUCAACUCGUUUCCUGAACCGAUCCAAAAAAUUAGCAAAAGCCCACUUUUUAUUCCUACCCACCAUCAUAGGUAAGCCUAGGAACUUUUCGGGGUUAGAUGCCAACCGAACCCCUAACAGAUUGACGAUAUCCUCCUUAACGCUAAAAUCUACAUUCACUCUGAAAUAGAUAAGAGACUUAUCAAAAUUCACACGUUGUCCCGAAACCAUCUCAUACUCACGGAUUACAUUACGAACCACCCCAGCUCCCUCACACGAGGCAUCUCCAAAUAAGAUACAACCAUCUACAAAAAAUAAAUGAUUAACAGAAAUUUUCUCCCAACCAACAGGUGCUCCCACCAUCCGUCCUUUAUUUUUAGCCUCUUGAAUAAGCGUAGAAAAACCCUCAGCACAAAUCAAAAACAGAUAGGGACUAAGAGGGUCUCCUUGUCGUAGCCCUCUUGAAGGAGAGAACCUUUCGCUAUGAUAUCCAUUAAGGCUAAUCGAGUAUGAAACAGAGCAAACGCAUCGCAUGAUAAGAAUAAUCCAAUCCAUACGAAAACCCAGAUGUUUCAUCAUCCCUGCCAAAAAGUCUCAUUCGACACGAUCAUACGCUUUACUCAUAUCGAGUUUAAGCGCAAAAUUACAUUUCUUGCCGCUAUUCUUCAUUUUUAAAGAAUGAAGGACCUCAUAAGCAAUCAGCACAUUGUCCGAAAUAAGUCUUCCUGGGAUAAAAGCCCUUUGAGCUUCAUUAAUGCAAUUCCCCAACAUAUGACUCAUACGAAUUACCAAGACUUUUGCAAUAAUUUUGUAAAUAACAUUACAAAGGCUUAUGAGUCUGAAAUGAGACAUAUUUUUUGGCUUAUCAAUUUUAGGAAUCAAAAUAAUGCGUGUUUUAUUGAGAUCUCCUAGUUCAGAUUGUCCAUUCAGAAUAGAUAAACAAAAUUGAGAGACUUCCGACCCAAUAAUAUGCUAGUGCCUUUGAAAAAAGAUAACAGGAAACCUAUCAACACCAGGGGCUUUCAAAGGUGCCAUCAGUUUAACAGCAUAGGCAAUCUCCUCCUCAAUGAACUUCUUUAACAACCCAUCAUUCAUGCUAUCAGUAACCUUUUUCUCAACUAAACCAAAUAAAUGCUCAUUCGAACCCAUAUCCGAAGCAGAAAAAAGGUUACCAAAAUAAUUAGAAGCAAUCUGAACAAAUUCCUCAGACGAAUUGGCUCGUCCCCCAUUUUCAUCUUGCAGCUCCGUAAUUCUACCAUAGAAAUGGCGUUGCACAGCAACCUUAUGAAAAAAGCUGGUAUUCUGAUCACCAUUCUUCAUCCAAUUUACAUGUGCACGUUGUUCCCAAAAUAACUCUUCCUUAUUAGCUUCCAAAUUAAGUCCUAAUUGGACUUUCGUAAUCUCAGCUAAAAUCUCAUCAGAAAGAUCUUGAUUAUAAAGAUUAGUCAAUCUGUCUUCUAAUUCAAUCCUAUUUCUCUUCCUCUCUACCAGUAGACUUGCUCCACUUGAGCAAAUGAUGUCCCAGUUCCUCUAACUUGCCCAAUACACUUCCAAAAUUAUCAUCCCACCACCUUUUCACCAUCCCCUCAAAGGAACUAUCUAAACACCAUUUGGCCUCAAACCUAAAAGGCUUCACAAGACUGUCUUGAUUGUUCCAUACCACCACCAUAGUAUCUAGGAGAAGGGGGCAAUGGUCAAAAAAAGAAUGACUCAAAUGUUCAAGUCGAUAUCCAGGAAAGAGAUUCACCCAACUCAAGGUAGCGACUCCACGAUCCAACCGUUCCCUUAUAUUCGUAGAUACAAAUCGUCCUCGCUCCCAUAUGAACCACCAGUCAACAAAGCCUAAAUCCGUAAGACUGCAAUCAUCUAAUGCCUCACGAAAUUCCCUCAUCUGGCGAUCUGAUCAGAGGCGACCACCUUUCUUCUCAAAAGAAUUCGCAACCUCAUUAAAGUCACCCAAGACAACCCAAGGGGUAGAUUGAUCAUGAUUUAUCUGUCGAAGCAGGUCUCACGAAGCGCUUCUACUCCUUUCAUCCAGAUUCCCAUAGGACCCCGUUAACCUCCAGAUCUCGCCACAUUCAUUAUCAUGAACUUCAACAUCAAUAUGAAACGAGGAAAAACUUUUAAGCUGAACUAAUGUAUUCCCUCUCCAGCCCAACUAUAAACCACCUCUUGUGCCUAUUGCCCUAACGUCGAUUCCAUUCUCAAACCCACGCUUCAACCUUACCAACUCUAUUUUUUUAGCUUAAUUUUGUCUCCAUAAGAAACAAAAUACAAGGAUUAAUGGCUCUUAACUUAUUCUUGAGCCUUUUAACUGUUCGUGAUCUCCCCAAACUACGAACAUUCCAACUUAGUAUUUUCAUUGAGCCUAGUUGCUCUGAUCACCAGAGCUAGCUAAUACAUCCAUUGAGCCUAAUCCAGCAACAGCAUCCAAAAGAACACGUGGGCCCUCCACAAAUCUCUGUCUCUUUUUUACCUUUCAACAAAGCAAUUGGGUCAUCCUCCUUAUGCAAGACCAAGUCCAUAGGCCCAUACACUAAUCCAUCAGCUACCAACGCAUUGUUACCCCCAUCACGCCCCUUAAUUUGUUUAUUAUUACUGUGAUACUGGACAGAUCCCAAAGGGAUUAGAUUGGGAUUUGAAUUUUGAUUCCCAACAAUUCCCCUGAAAUUACGCCCUAAAUCUUUCCCCUCAUUUAUCAAAAUAUCAUGAUUGAAACUUACCAAGUUUUCUGUAACACACGGUGACCCAUCUGCUGCUCGUAACCACCUGCUCAUUGCCGAAUUCUGACGCCUUACCACCGCACGCAUUGAUAAAUCCCAGCCAAAUACUAUUUUAGAUGGUUCAAAUUAUAGCCGAAAAGGACAAUAACUCUCCCCAUGCCCCAAUUUUCCACAGAUAAAGCAGAACAGACUAAGCUUUUCAUAUUUAAACCUAGCAUAAACAAUCAUAGACUUCCUGAUCAAGACUUUCUUCUUACAUUUCAAUGGGGCAGUAAUGUCCAGACAAACACGAAUACGUAAAAAUUUCUGAAUACCCAAUGACGGUAUGGAAGUAUCAUACUCAAUAAAUUUACCGCAGAAAUCACCAAAUUGUUUUGCCAUCGAUUCUGUCAUCAGCCCUGGAGGUAAUUCAUGGACUUGUAUCCAAAACUCGGUAAAGUUUAACUCCAACGCUGCCGAAUUUUCCCCACCAGGAAUUUUUUGGAGUAUAAGUAAAUGGUUAUUGAAAAACCACGGUUUUCCUAAGACUACCAUUUCAAUGUCAACCUCAUUAAAAAAUUGAAAAAGAGACCGUUUCUCCCCUAACUCCGUAAUACAAAUCCCCCCGAUAGGAUGCCAGAGAUCCGCCAUUGUAUUACACAAGGAAGGAAAAUGAACAACGCUAUCUGUUAGACAGCGACCUACCAGACAGAAUUGAUAAGCACCAUUCACCGCUCCUUCGUCCUCUUGGAUCGCUUCCUCCUCCUCAUCUAAUAACCUCAAAUUUGCCAGUGCAUCUUCCAUCGAAAACACAGAAAAUGUCAAAACAAAACCAGACUGAAAGAACCCGUGCCAAUCGGCAGAUAGAGAAACGUGCCAAACGGCAGACUAUAAAACUAAAGCUAAGAUUUUUUAAACUCCUAACACGCCCUCAAAGUUUUUCAACACUUGAAUUUUUAGAGAGCAAAAUUGUUUUGAAUUAACAUAUUGAAUACAAUGAUAUAAUUUUAAUUUUUGUUACUAAUUAAGAUUUUUUUCUUCAAACAUUAUUGUUAACUUUUUUUAAUAAUUAAUACUUUAAAAAGUUAAAUUAUGUAACUUGUAAUUGUAAUUUUACUAUCAAACACAACAUGGAGAACUACCAUGUAACUUACAAGAGGAUGUAAUUACUAUAAUAAUAUUUACAUUUUCAUCGAGUUACUCUAUAGUUUCUAAAUAUACCCAAAAAUUAUUUUAAAUUUUCACUGUUUCACUCUAUUCCUGUCACGGAAAUACUGUUUUCGGUCAUACUCAAGAGAGCACUCUUGAGAAGAUUCUAAAGUUAUAAUUAAGAUUACAAUAUUGACAUAAAUUUUAGGUUUUUUUUUGUGUGUGUGAUAAAAUCCUAACUAAAUUAAGCAACAAAAGCUAACAUUCUCCUACCCUAUCAUUCCAACAAUUUCAUAAGAGCUACUCUAACAGCAUGUUUGGUUGGGUAUAUUGGCAUAGCCAUUACACCCCUAUUCCGUGGGCCCCACUUAAUCCCACUUUAAUCCUUUGUUUGGUUCAGUGUAUUGGCUAAUAUGGGUCUAAUACAUUACAGACCUAAUCCCCAAAAUCCACCGAUUUCUAAUCCCUCCCUUUUGCUCAGUUUAGGUGCUGCUUUAGUUUUAUACCGUGUUUUACCCUCCCUCCCAAUCGAUCGAUGCUUCCCCUUUCCUUCUUCUGUUUCUUCCUUCUAGCUUGGGGUUUCUGCAGAUUUGUUCCCUCCCGAUCGACGCUUCCCCUUUCCUUCUUCUGUUUUUUACAACACAAUUUACGCUUGGCCUUCUCAACCUUUUCUUUUCUUUUUCUCUUUGUCACCCUUUCGCUUGCUCUCAUUUGGUGGGUUUCCAAGUUUACUGCAACUGAAAGGUAAACCAAGGUUUCUAAUUCUCUUUUGCUCUCAAAUUGUUUGCUUUCAAACUUCUUUCUUGGUUUAGCAAUCAUUUUUUAUCUAACAUAUAAUUUCUCUUUUCAAUAUUCGAUAUGUAGAUUAGGUUGUCGUUUAGUAAAGUUCACUUCAUGAUUUGUGCCUAAUUUUUUAUUUUGAGUUUGAACCUUUGAGUUUUCAAUACUGCCUAAUUUUUUUAUUUCGGUGAGAAUUUUCAGUCGGGGUACUGGUAUUUUCUACUGGUUUAAACAUAAUUGUAGUGAGAACAACUUCAGUUUAAGGUUCUAUAAGAUAAUAAAAAGCCCAAUUAUUUGGAUAGUGAAAGAAUACAUGAAACCGUAAUAUACAUGGUUUUUUUCUGGAUGGAAUUUUCAUAGCUUUUUGAGCUGGCAUAUAUUGAAUAAAAAGGUUCUUUUCUGGCUGUGCUAUGUCUAUUUAUUAGUUUAAUGAUCAGUCAUUGUGAAAGUGAGUCACUAGAUUUAACAUGUUUCAAAAAAAAAAAAGAACAGGUUGAGUGAGUCCCAGUUACUUCUCUUUUAGAGUUUGAUUUAAUAGCAGGGCAGCAAUUUCCACUGCUAGUUAUAUUUUGUUUGGUUCCUUUUUCAUGUCUAUGGUUAUGGUUCCUACUGUUGUUGCAUUUGUUUUUAUUUUACUGAAUAUAUGUUUUAAGAGGAAUUAGAGUCCCUGAAUCGAAUAUCCUUAUGCUGCUUAACCGUCAUCCUCGAAUAUUUUUGUAUAAUCCGGUUCAGCUUAAGGAGAUUGUGGAGGAAGUCAAAGGAAUGGGAAUUAAUUAGAAGUGAGUUAGCAUAGGCUGCAGCAUUAGUAUUUUGUAGGAUGUGCCAUGUUGCCCUUGAAGACCAAAGGAAUUACUUUUUGCACAUUCAUGUCUCGUUGUCUUGUUUCAGUUCAUUAUUUUGGUCUAAAACUUCUUGUAGUUGGAAUUUGUCAAUGGAAGCAGCCAUGUUUUUGUAGUUGUAUUCCUUUCUUCCAUUGAUGAAGCUUAAGCUCAACAUUUUGCUUGACUUGCUGUUAAUUUAAGUCUCAUUGGUUUGAAGUGCAAUAGUGUAAUGAGUUUCAUUGGCUGCCUUGUUAGUAUCUUUUGUUUUUUUUGCAUGUAAGUAGAUUCGAAUCAUUGUCUUUGAUACAAGUUGAAGCCGGAGUUUAGCUUUGCUGGUUCAUACAGUCACCUUUACAAGAUGGUGUCCAAUAUAAAUCAAUGAAACACUUUUCAUAUGAUACAUAAUGAAAUUUUAUUGCGCCUGGUGUAUCUGACCACUGUUGUUCCAGCAUAUUGAUGUUCUAUGUGAAAUU